CAAACAGAGGUGAAUUUUUGUUAAUAAUUUUAUUGGGCUCCCCUUCUUCUAUAAGUUUAAAUCUAGCUAAAAGUAUAAAUCUUAUUUAAUGUAUAUAAAAUUAUAAAAUUAAUCUAAAAUUGUUUAGUACAAAAAAUUUUGCAACUAGAUAACCUAGUUAAAGUAAAUAAAUGAUCUACUAGGUGCCAGCACUCGCGGUUACACCUAUAUUUAAUAUGCACUUCAAGGCGCAGGGACAAUUAUUUCAAACUAAAAACACCAGAGGUAAAAUUCUGCUUGUUUUUUUCACUUGCACACCUUAUAAAUUAACCAAUAAACAGGGAUUAGACACCCCUCUAUAUAAAAUAAACCAGAGCCUAGGGUAGUAAGUAUUAUAUAGCCCAAACCCAAAGAUUUUGGCGGCAAUUAACCUUUCCAGAGAGACCUGUUUAUUUAUUUGACAACCCUCCCUAUAUCUUACUUUUACUAAAACUUGCAUACCGUCAUCUAGAUUUUAUCUUAAGGUAAAUAUCCCAAAGGUAACAAAAAUGUUAGAUCAACGCGCAGUAAAUAUAAAAGCUCAUAAUGGGUCUCAAUUUAAACCAAAUAGAAAAAAAAUUAACAACUUUUUUAAAGAGGAUUUGGGUGUAAUAAUUUUUUAAAAUGAUAAUAUGACUAAGCCAUUGAUUGUGUACAUAUCGCCCGUCGCCCUCGACACGAGGUAAGUCGUAACAUAGUAGAAGUACUAGAAAGUGUUUCUUUAUUUAA
rnacentral:rRNA from 1 species